CGCUGGCGGCGUGCUUAACACAUGCAAGUCUAGCGGUAAGGCUCCUUCGGGAGUACACGAGCGGCGAACGGGUGAGUAACACGUGAGCAACCUGCCCUUCUCAUCGGAAUAAGCGUUGGAAACGACGUCUAAUGCCGAAUACGACUUCGGACCGCAUGGUCUGAAGUGGAAAGCUCCGGCGGAGAAGGAUGGGCUCGCGGCCUAUCAGGUAGUUGGUGAGGUAACGGCUCACCAAGCCGACGACGGGUAGCCGGCCUGAGAGGGUGACCGGCCACACUGGGACUGAGACACGGCCCAGACUCCUACGGGAGGCAGCAGUGGGGAAUAUUGGACAAUGGGCGAAAGCCUGAUCCAGCAACGCCGCGUGAGGGAUGACGGCCUUCGGGUUGUAAACCUCUUUCAGCAGGGACGAAGCGAAAGUGACGGUACCUGCAGAAGAAGGACCGGCCAACUACGUGCCAGCAGCCGCGGUAAUACGUAGGGUCCGAGCGUUGUCCGGAAUUAUUGGGCGUAAAGGGCUCGUAGGCGGUUUGUCGCGUCGGGAGUGAAAACUCAGGGCUCAACCCUGAGCGUGCUUCCGAUACGGGCGGACUAGAGGUAUGCAGGGGAGAACGGAAUUCCUGGUGUAGCGGUGGAAUGCGCAGAUAUCAGGAGGAACACCGGUGGCGAAGGCGGUUCUCUGGGCAUUACCUGACGCUGAGGAGCGAAAGCAUGGGGAGCGAACAGGAUUAGAUACCCUGGUAGUCCAUGCCGUAAACGUUGGGCGCUAGGUGUGGGGACCUUCCACGGUCUCCGUGCCGCAGCUAACGCAUUAGCGCCCCGCCUGGGGAGUACGGCC
rnacentral:rRNA from 1 species